rnacentral:rRNA from 1 species
AUUGGACGCUGGCGGCAGGCCUAACACAUGCAAGUCGAGCGGAUGAAGGGAGCUUGCUCCUGGAUUCAGCGGCGGACGGGUGAGUAAUGCCUAGGAAUCUGCCUGGUAGUGGGGGAUAACGUCCGGAAACGGGCGCUAAUACCGCAUACGUCCUGAGGGAGAAAGUGGGGGAUCUUCGGACCUCACGCUAUCAGAUGAGCCUAGGUCGGAUUAGCUAGUUGGUGAGGUAAAGGCCUACCAAGGCGACGAUCCGUAACUGGUCUGAGAGGAUGAUCAGUCACACUGGAACUGAGACACGGUCCAGACUCCUACGGGAGGCAGCAGCGGGGAAUAUUGGACAAUGGGCGAAAGCCUGAUCCAGCCAUGCCGCGUGUGUGAAGAAGGUCUUCGGAUUGUAAAGCACUUUAAGUUGGGAGGAAGGGCAGUAAGUUAAUACCUUGCUGUUUUGACGUUACCAACAGAAUAAGCACCGGCUAACUUCGUG